GCUCACCUCUUCCCAUUCCGAACAGAGAAGUUAAGCCCGUUAGCGCAGAUGGUACUGCUAUUUGUGGGAGAGUAUGUCACCGCC
rnacentral:rRNA from 1 species